AAGGUGAAAAUCCAGUUGAAAUGAUUCUUGUUAUGACUGUGAAACUUGGAUUUGGUGGGCAGAAGUUCAUGCCAGAUAUAAUGAAUAAGGUGUGCAUGCUGAGAGAGAAGUCCCAAAACUUGAUAUAGAGGAAUUUGCUUUAUGUCUAAUGAGUUGGACUGAAUCUCAUCUAUCGGUAGAACCGAAUUAAUUGUUCACGUGAUUCAUAUGAWUKUUCCACACUCGAUUCAAGGGGGGAAUGAUGCAUUUUAGAAUGAGAUUAGCAAGGUGGAUGAUUAAGGUUUACAUUGCUAUGUUUUCAUGCAUGGUUGGUGUGUAGGUUUACUUUAAUCCAUAGUGAAGACUACCUUGAGAGUUUGUAUCACUGUUGCUUACUAAGUCUUAGCUGAAAUAUAUUUUGAGUAGACACAUUCUUUUUAUAAAAUUAGUUUAUGUAUAGUUUUGUAAUUU